rnacentral:rRNA from 1 species
GACGAACGCUGGCGGCGUGCCUAAUACAUGCAAGUCGAGCGAAUCUUUAGAAGCUUGCUUCUGAAGAUUAGCGGCGGACGGGUGAGUAACACGUGGGCAACCUGCCUGUAAGACUGGGAUAACUUCGGGAAACCGGAGCUAAUACCGGAUAAUCCAUUCCCUCACAUGAGGGAAUGCUGAAAGACGGCAUCACGCUGUCACUUACAGAUGGGCCCGCGGCGCAUUAGCUAGUUGGUGAGGUAACGGCUCACCAAGGCGACGAUGCGUAGCCGACCUGGGAGGGUGAUCGGCCACACUGGGACUGAGACACGGCCCAGACUCCUACGGGAGGCAGCAGUAGGGAAUCUUCCGCAAUGGACGAAAGUCUGACGGAGCAACGCCGCGUGAGCGAGGAAGGCCUUCGGGUCGUAAAGCUCUGUUGUUAGGGAAGAACAAGUACCGGAGUAACUGCCGGCACCUUGACGGUACCUAACCAGAAAGCCACGGCUAACUACGUGCCAGCCGCCGCCGUAAUAC